UACGUAGGGGGCAAGCGUUGUCCGGAUUUAUUGGGCGUAAAGCGCGUGUAGGCGGCCAUCUAAGUCGGGCGUGAAAUCCCACGGCUCAACCGUGGAAGCGCACUCGAAACUGGAUGGCUAGAGUCCUGGAGAGGAAGGUGGAAUGCUUGGUGUAGAGGUGAAAUUCGUAGAUAUCAAGCGGAACACCGGUGGCGAAGGCGGCCUUCUGGACAGUGACUGACGCUGAGACGCGAAAGCGUGGGGAGCAAACAGG
rnacentral:rRNA from 1 species